UACGGAAGGCAGCAGUGGGGAAUAUUGCACAAUGGGCGCAAGUCUGAUGCAGCCAUGCCGCGUGUAUGAAGAAGGCCUUCGGGUUGUAAAGUACUUUCAGUCGUGAGGAAGGUGUUAAGGUUAAUAACCUUAGCAAUUGACGUUAGCGACAGAGGAAGCACCGGCUAACUCCGUGCCAGCAGCCACGGUAAUACGGAGGGUGCGAGCGUUAAUCGGAAUUACUGGGCGUAAAGGGCACGCAGGCGGUUAAUUAAGUUGGAUGUGAAAUCCCCGGGCUUAACCUGGGAAUGGCAUUCAAGACUGGUUAGCUAGAGUCUUGUAGAGGGGGUAGAAUUCCAUGUGUAGCGGUGAAAUGCGUAGAGAUGUGGAGGAAUACCGGUGGCGAAGGCGGCCCCUGGACAAAGACUGACGCUCAUGUGCGAAAGCGUGGGGAGCAAACAGGGAUUAGAUACC
rnacentral:rRNA from 1 species